UUAGCUCUAAGUUCUUUCGGUCUGUUUUUAUGAUUCCCGACUUUGCGUAUUAGGUCUAAGUUCUUUCGGUCCGUUUUUAUGAUCCUUAACUUUGCUUAUUAGCUCUAAGUUUUUUUGGUCCGUUUUUAUGAUCCCCAAAUUUGCGUAUUAGCUCUAAGUUCUUUCGGUCCGUUUUUAUGAUCCCCGACUUUGCGUAUUAGCUUUAAGUUCUUUCGGUCCAUUUUUAUGAUCCCCGACUUUGCGAAUUAGCUCUAAGUUCUUUCGGUCCGUUUUUAUGAUCCCCGAAUUUGCGUAUUAGCUCUAAGUUCUUUCGGUCCGUUUUUAUGAUCCCCGACUUUGCGUAUUAGCUCUAAGUUCUAUUGGUCCUUUUUAUGAUCCCCGACUUUACGUAUUAGCUCUAAGUUCUUUCGGUCCGUUUUUAUGAUCCCCGACUUUGCGUAACUCUACGUUCUUUCGGUCCAUUUUUAUGAUCCCCGACUUUGCGUAUUAGCUCUAAGUUCUUUCGGUUAUUUUUAUAAUCUCUAAAUUUUCUAAUUAGCUUUAAGUUUUUUUGGUCCGUUUUUAUGAUCCCCGACUUUGCGUAUUAUCUCUAAGUUCUUUCGGUCCGUUUUUAUGAUCUCCGACUUUGCGUAUUAGCUCUAAGUUCU
rnacentral:lncRNA from 1 species